CCUACGGGAGGCAGCAGUGGGGAAUUUUCCGCAAUGGGCGAAAGCCUGACGGAGCAACGCCGCGUGAGGGAUGAAGGCCUCUGGGCUGUAAACCUCUUUUAUCAAGGAAGAAGAUCUGACGGUACUUGAUGAAUAAGCCACGGCUAAUUCCGUGCCAGCAGCCGCGGUAAUACGGGAGUGGCAAGCGUUAUCCGGAAUUAUUGGGCGUAAAGCGUCCGCAGGCGGCUUUUCAAGUCUGCUGUUAAAGCGUGGAGCUUAACUCCAUCAUGGCAGUGGAAACUGAAAGGCUUGAGUAUGGUAGGGGCAGAGGGAAUUCCCGGUGUAGCGGUGAAAUGCGUAGAUAUCGGGAAGAACACCAGUGGCGAAGGCGCUCUGCUGGGCCAUUACUGACGCUCAUGGACGAAAGCCAGGGGAGCGAAAGGGAUUAGAUACCCCUGUAGUCCUGGCCGUAAACGAUGAACACUAGGUGUCGGGGGAAUCGACCCCUUCGGUGUCGUAGCUAACGCGUUAAGUGUUCCGCCUGGGGAGUACGCACGCAAGUGUGAAACUCAAAGGAAUUGACGG
rnacentral:rRNA from 1 species